AAAAAAUCUGGGCUCAGCUGGCCCAGCUGAUAGUACCCUGUAAGGGCUUCUAAUCCAGGGAUACAGGAUGAGCAGCGUUUGUACUCCAUGUAAGGAGCGGCUGCACAUGGUGUCUGUUCCUCAUGUCAGAGGCGGCCAUUUCUUUUGGAGCUAAGUCGGCCUGCCACUGAGUAGUACUCCCAGUCUUAAUGACAAAGGCAGAUGCAUUCUACUUCACCCAGUCAUGAUCUCAAGCUUUACAAGCUUGAUACCCUAAUAUGAUUGAGUGGAGAUAUGAAAGAAGAAGAAGAAGAAAACAUCUUUCAACAGAUUAUAAGAGAAUUGUUUCCAUAAUCUAACAGAGUGGGCUGGAAUAUUGGAAAUUUCCCCAGGAGAUGAAAAGAAUUGCACAGAGCGGAGUGAAAUGGCUUUCCGUGGAGACAGCUCUGUAUUGGACGGGGCUACAGAAUGAUGAUACAAUGUGUUUCUACACUACUGUAUCUACACUGUAGUAUUUCUAGAGAAAUCUCUACUUUUAACAGUUUUACCUACUCAAUUUAAACAUCCUGGGAGGGUAUUAAAAACCAGCGAUGUGUGGUAUUUACAAUUAGGAGAUUUCAUUAUAGUCAAGUCUCCUUAAUUUGAAAAGUCAACUGUGAUUAAUUGGGACUGGCAGGGAGAAGUCAGAAAGUAAUCAGCAGUUCCAAUUAACAAAUGUUUACUUCAAAGCACCAAACUCUCACAAACUCUUAGAAGACAAAGUAUACUAUUAAUAAUAAACUUCUGUUAAUUGGGGGGAGGAAAAUUGCUAAUUGGAUCCUUUUUAUGUUGUUUUCCAAGAAUACCUCAAAUAAAUACCUCAUUUGAAUGUGGAUUAUAUACAAUAAGACUUAACUGAGGUGAACCCUAAGGAAACUAAACUUUUGGUUCACUCUAAGUAAUGUUUCACUAUAUGUUAUUGCUAAUUUAUUGGGGAUUGUUUUAGGUUCUUUAUAAGGAAAGUUUUGCUAUAUCCCCAGUUAGUUUUAGCAAGGUUUUACUGUAUAUAAAUGUGAUAAGGCACAAUUUGGAUUAUAGAUUAUAAACAUAAAGUAAUAAUACCAAAUCCAAAUAAAUAGUGUGUGAUGUUUCAGUAAGAGCAUUGUUAGCAUUCAGCCACCACAUUCAGUACUUUGGAGGAGACAAGGGAAUAAAAAUGCAAUAUAACAUCGGUAUGGUAGAUUAAACUGGCAAAACCGCUGGGAGGGGUCACUACUGAUGAGUCAAGACCUCCCAUUAAUUUUUCUUUGCAGUAAGGGCAGUAGAAAAUUAUUUUAUUUUUAAAAGAAUCAUAUGCAUCUAUAAUAGUUUAGAAUACUCAUAUCUGAAAUUACCUCCAGCCUUCCUUUGAAUCUUAUUCUAGGCUCCAAACAAUCUACUAUUUGGUGGUAUACACAAUAUCAAAGACCAAGAUCACAAGGACUAAUGUUAGAGAUUAGAGCCACUUUCUUGAUCAUGUAACUAAUAGUUGCUGAUGGUUCACAGCUAUCUAUUGGAAAACAUAUCUACUAUCUAUAAUAUGAUGCACCAGCGCGCCAUCUGUUAUCAAAAUUCAAAACUAUUUUAAACGUGCAUGAUUCUUUUUGAAAUUGAACAAUUUCUACUGCCCUUACUGCUAUGGAAAAAUUAAAAGGGAAGAAGGCCUGUUGUUUCUUUUUAUUAUCCAAAGUUUGUCCCUAUACUCCUUUCUUGAAAAUUAUAUUUGAAAAACCCAUCAAGUUUGUAUUUUAGGCUGUUAGUCCUGAUCAGUGUGGUGCAGGUUGUACGUUGAAGGUCCCCCAAAGGGAGCUUCAUCUCAUUGUUUCAUGAAAAGGGUAUUUAACGGCAAAAAUGUUUGAGCCUGCCAUAAUAUGCUUUAAAAAAUCAUCGGCACAAAACCAUCAUCAGGAUUCAGUUGUUUCCCAUCAGGAGGUGAUCUUCUCCAUUAUCUCAUUUUUUCUUCUCUACCAAUGUUAGAAUAAUUUUUUUUUUAACCUCGCAUUAUAGCAGUCUCUUUUAUAACAGCUAUUUAAAAACACAGAUUAACAAGAAUCAAUAUCCAAAUUAAUAAAAUUGAGUGAGUGACGUUUCAGUAACAGCAUUGUUACCAUCAACAGACAAAAGUACUGAAUGAGAUCAAAAAAUAUAAAUAUGUAUAUCACAGCAUGCUGUUAUAAAUAUUUGGUACUGUGCUAUCAGUUGCUCAAACAAGAAUAGAUAUAAACCAAAUAUUGUACCUUAUCAAGAAGAUAUAUAACUGAUAAGAAUAAACAAAUUAUUUUCUAUGAGAACCCUAUAAUACUAUUUUAAAAACAUGUGAAAAAGAAUAACAGUUACCAACUAUGAUUAGGAACAAUUUGGAUUAUAAACACAAGGUAAUAAGACCAAAUCCAAAUAAAUAAAUAAUGUAUGACGUUUCGGUAACAACGCUGUUACCGAAACAUCACACACUAUUUAUUUAUUUGGAUUUGGUCUUAUUACCUUGAGUUACCAACGAUGAUAAGACACAAUUUAUAUUAUAGAUUAAAAGCAAAAGGCAAUAAGACCAAAUCCAAAUAAAUAAAAUGUUGUUACCCAAAUGUCACACACUAUUUAUUUGGAUUUGGUCUUAUUACCUUGAGUUACCAACUAUUUAAGAACACGCUGGGGUAUUUUUUUCCCCUCAUUCAGUACCUUUGUCUGAUGAUGGUAACAACUCUGUUGCCAAAAUGUCACAGACAAUUUAUUAAUUUCGAUUUGGUCUGGUUACCUCAUGCAUCUAAUCUAUAAUCCAAAUUGUACCUUAUUCAACAACAACUUGGUUAUAACAUCAAGUUAUAUUCCCAAGUUUGUCCCUAUACUCCUUUUUUGAAAAUUAUAUUUGAAAAACCAAUCAAGUUCGCCCAUAGUGUAGUUUUAUCUUGCCUGUUGAAGGGCUUUUGCCCGAAAGCUUGCGUCGUCGAAAUAAUUAAAGAAACUUGUCUUCUUUCAUUUUGUUAAUCGCUACAUAACAUCAAGUAUUGAGUCCCAAUUGUUUUAACUAUAGCACAACAACAGUUUGUAUUUUCUCCAUUUGACAUUGUUAAGCCAGUAGAUGAGAAUCGUAACUCGAAAGCUCGCUUAUUUCACAUUAAAAAUAUAUGUAUUGUUAAUUUUUUAUUGAUUUUGAAUAACUUAUCUUUUAUCUUGUUUACACACUUGAUAACAGUUCUAUUUAAGAACAUGCUGUGAUAUUUUUUCUCAUAUUGGGGCUCAAAAAUCAUCUACUUUGUGGUUAGCAGCUCUGUAAAUAAAGAUAUUGUCAUUUGUUUUCUCAUUCAGUCUUUGUACCCUGGCAGAAACAUCUUUUUUUUUUUAGGCUUGAAAAUCAUAAACAUUGGUUAGUAGCCCUUAAAACCAUUUUCUCUCUUAUUUUUCUCAUUUAUUCUUUUGUCUGAUGAUGGUAACAAUGCUGUUACCGAUACAUCACACUAUUAAUUUAUUUGGAUUAGGUCUUAAUUUCUUGUAGCUAUAAUCCAAAUUAUACUUUAUCAAUUUUACCCAAUGAAAACAACAACAUGGUGCAAUAACAACAUAAAAUAAUGGUCCCAAGUGAUGAUAAGGCACAAUUUGGAUUAGGGAUUAUAAACACAAGGUAAUAAGACCAAACCAAAUAAAUAAAUAGUGUGUGACAUUUCAGUCAAGAUGGUAACAACACUGUUAUCAAAAUGUCACACACUAUUUAUUUAUUUGGAUUUGGUCUUAUUACCUUGGGUCCCAAGUGAUGUUGUUAUAGAGAGGUUCCAUUACAUCAAAUGAAACUUGAAUAAAUUACAGGAAAGUAUAAGGAAAUUUGAUGUCUCUAGAAACAACAUUGAAUUAUAGAGAAACAAUUGAAAAAUAAUUUCAACCUAAAAAUUAUACUCUGUAUAUAUUAGAUGGUGAGAAAAAGAUAUACUCAAGAUACAAUUUAAUACAAUUUAAAGAAGCCUAUUUCAUUAAGAAGAAAUGUGUGGCAAACAAUUAACAGAAUAGAAGAAACACAAAGUAAUAAGACCAAACCCAAAUAAAUAAAUAAUGUAUGACUUCAGUAACAUGAAACCUCACAAUGUAUUUAUUUAGAUUUGGUCUUAUUACCUUGUGUUUCUAAUCUAUAAUCCAAAUUGUACCUUAUCAGAAUGAAAAAAUAAAAAAAGGAAAUAUUAAUGACAUUUCCAGAUAUGCAUUAAAUUGCAUAUCUAUUUCUUUCUAUUCUACUAUUUACAAAUAAUCAUUUAUUUGUACUUCUAAUCAGUAGUCUUAUCAUUUUUUGUAAGUUUUGUUUACCCAACUGAUAACAGUAUCAAUUAUUUAAGAGCAUGCUGUGAUUACAUAAAAUCUCCCACGUGGUCUAGUGGCUAGGAUACCUGGUUCUCACCCAGGAGGCCUGGGUUUGAUUCCCGGUGUGGGAACUUUUUCCACUUUGGUUAGUAGCCCGUAAAACCAUAUUCUCUCUCUACAUAAAGAGAGAUUGUCUCAUUCAGUAAAUCUUGUAUUUUAAUUCAAAAUUUUUUUUUUUUUUUUGCUUAUCCCUAGUACACGUGGUACAGGUCAUGAUAAUCAUGGUGGGUAUGGGUAGGCGACUGCUUUUACUGUAAGUGCACCACAUGUUUACACAUGUGAAAAGCAGUUCGACUUUGUACUUACAAAUAUAAAAUGAAAGGAUUUAAAAGCACGGAUGUUUCUUUUAUACAUAAUACAAACUUCUACAAACUUUGGUUACUUGCGCUCGCUGGUGGGGCUGGAUUUUUGCAAGAAUCGGGGGCCAUUUAGGCAUUUUUUUUUUAUCAGAAAAAAAAGUGCCCAAUGCGAAAAUUGAACUUGGGUCGUAGUGGUCAAAAAGCAACAGUUUACACCAUCCUUCCACCGACCCCCUAUCAGUCUAUUUACUUUAGCCAACACCAAACUUUAAUUCAACCAAAAAUUCUGAUUCCCCUUGGGUUGUUACAUUAAAGAAGUUAGAAGAAUAGAGUAAAACCCCUCUAUAGUGAACCCCAAUGGGACAGAGCUUUUGGUUCACUAUAGCCACGGUUUGGCUAUUUUUUUUUACUUUUCAAAAAUUUUAGACCGUAUAAUUAAAAAACAGCCAUACACACAAGAAGAGGCUGCCUCUUAAUAGUGGUCACUUUAUUUUAAUUCCCUUAAUUGACUAAUUUCCUUAUAUUAAUACUGAAUAAUAAUAGAAAUCAUUAGAUAAUAGGUUCUUCUUAUGAUUAACAUACAUGUACCUCUAUGUCUAAGUUAAAAAUCAAGACAAAUCCUAGGCAAAGUUUUAUUAAAUAUAUAUUCAAAGAUAUGAAAUGAUUUUAAAACAUCAUUAUCACAUUAUAUAAUACAAUUUUUACUUGAAAAAAUGGCUCUAAUACCUUGUUGUUUCAAAGCAUUCUUCCAAGCAUUGCACCAUUCAAAUAAAGUUAGUGUUUUUCUUCCAUUUCAUGUUUCCCCAUAUUCUUCUAGGUCUAGAUUUCGUUUUUUUUUUUUUUUAACCUGCCAUGCAAAACAUUGCUGACUUUAAAAUCACCAUAGUUAAUGGCAUAAAAAUAUUUUUUGUUUCAUCACGGGACCGUUUAUUUGGACUUUUUUUUUUAACCCAAAACGUACGAUCGCGAUCGCGGCAAAAGUUGAGGUUGAUUCCUCUUUGUAACAAUUUUUAAUAACUUUAUAUUUUAUCUUUUAUAAUAGAAAAGUUAUAUUCUCUUAUUUUAAUAUGUUCUUAACAUUUUGCCUGUUUUGUUUCACUUUGAAAAGUUCUGAAAAUGGACUUUAUUUUUUAAAAAGAAAUAACGUUUUUGUUUUUAGAAUGCCUUUGUUUUCUUUGUUUUGGAAGCCAUUUGCAUUUUUUAUAUUUCAAAUUUAAUGGAGGCAAAGAUAUUCUAUUUAAUAAAAAGUAUAAUGUGUAAAAAUUUAUACAACAUACAGCAAAAAUAAAGUGCAAAAAUCAAACAAACAAUGCCGCUAAAUUUAUUGUUUUGAAAUCACGAUCCGCGAGCUGAAACAUGAUAAAAAUUUUGUUUUUAAUUUUUUUUUUUUAAUUACAAUUCUAAGUUCGUUAUAAGCAUAGUAUUUUUAAUAGAUUUUAUCAUUUUGGGACCCGAAAUAGGUUCGUUAUAGGGGUAGUUCGUUAUUCUAAAAAUCGCAAAGUUCGUUAUAACGAUGGUAUUUUCAAUGGAAUGGAAUUGGGAAUCGGCGUGGGUUCGUUAUAAGGGAAGGUUCGUUAUAUCCAGGGUUCGUAUUAGCGGGGUUUUACUGUAUAUAAUUUUUCAUCAAAAUCUUGCAAUCCCUAAAUUCUGAGAGAUCCCCACAACUUGUAUGAAGUUAUAUGAAAGAAAGUACAAGGUGGGAUCAGGUAGAUAAAUUAUAAAGAGAAAGGUAUCUUCUGAUCAUGCAUCAAAUAACAAGUUAUUGUAAUGGCCUUGUAUGAAAUUAGUCUGAGAUCCCAUCAGACCAAUAUUACGGGACUUGUAAGCUACAACAAAUAAGAUGGCUGACCAUUAAAAUCUGAUAAUGAAUUGCAACAGGUUUCAAUUCAAAAUGUUGACGUAAAUCUGUUCAUAUAUCUUCUCUUUCUUAUCUCCACUCAACAAUCAUAUAAGGGUAUCAAUGAGCCUGUAGAGCUUGUUGAUGGUGUCUGUGCUGGGGAUAAGUAGAGCUCCUCAAUGGAUGAGUCAAUACAGUCAAUGAUGAUAAGGUACAAUUUGGAUUAUAGAUUAUAAACACAAGGUAAUAAGACCAAAUCCAAAUAAAUAAAUAGUAUGUGAUGUUUUGCUAACAGCAUUGUUGUCAAAACAUCACACUAUUUAUUUAUUUGGAUUUGGUCUUAUUACCUUGAGUCAAUGAGGAAAAUUGCACUUAGUACAUAUUGGAAAAAUAUCAUAAAUAUUAGGGUAUAAACACAAGGUAAUAAAACCAAAUCCAAAUAAAUAAAUAGUGUGAUGUUUGUCAACAACGCUGUUACCAAAACAUCAUACACUAUUUAUUUAUUUGGAUUUGGUCUUAUUACCUUGUGUUUAUAAUCUACAAUCCAAAUUGUGCCUUAUCAUAAGGUAUAAAUAUAUUUUUUUAUCAAUGUUUUUAUACUCUAACCUAAGCUAACCCCCCCCCCCCCCCCAUGUCAUGGGGACCACUUGAAAACAUGGGGUUAGAUUUACCAACCUGCCAUGUGUAUGAUAAACUACAAAUGUCUCAAACAUAAUUGGCUGCCACUGAUGGAUGACAAUAUGAAACAUCAAUAAAAACAUUGAAACACACCACAUAUAUUGUAUAACUCCAUGUUAGGAGCAGCUGCACAUGGCGUCUGUUCCUCAUGUCAGAGGCGGCCAUUUCUUUUGGAGCUAAGUCGGCCUGCCACUGAGUAGUGCUCCCAGUCUUAAUGACAAAGGCAGACGCAUUCUACUUCACCCAGUGUGGAGAUAAGAAAGAAGAAGAAGACAUAUCGUAAACAAUGUGCUGAGGACCUUUGGGAAAGGCCGCUGCUUAUCAUAAAACAGCUCGAGGAGCAUGAACUUAUGGAAUUCGUAUAAUCUUUACACAAGAGGAUAAUAAACAGCAACAACACAAUAUGCUGAGGGUUAUAAAAAGAUUAACAAUUCCUUUUAUUUAUAUUUAAUAAAACUUAUAAAGAUGAAAAAAAUAUAGACUUAUUUUUUUAUAAAAGUUAAAUAUUAAUAAGAAUUGAUAAUAUAUUCGGCUGUUAAUUAUUGCUCGGUUUCAUAUAUAUUUAAACAAUUUAUAAACACUAUAUAAUUAAACAUGAAGUAGAUGGAGAUGUAAUUUACUAAUUUAUAUUUGAAACCAAAUGUGUUUUAUUGUGAUCAAAUAUUGUAAUAAUAUAAUUUAAAAAGCAAUAAAUAUAAUAAAAUUGCUUUAAAAUAUAUGACAUUUUAGAAUAUAUUCAUUUAAAUAAGGUAUAAAUGCAAACUGUCAAAUUUCAUAUCACCUGUGUUUUAAAAAAUGAAAAUAUGUUUGAGAACAAUUAAAUGUGUUUUAUUUUAUUUUAAAAUGUAUAAACAUUUAUUAUUGAUACUGUCAAUGGAAUGUUAAUAUUAUUUUCUUAAUUUAUGAAUUAAAACUAUCAGUUGACAUUUUAUUUUAAUGACAGCUAGUAACAACUAAUCAAUUCAACUGUAGACACCAAUUUAUCAAAUUAAAAGUCCUAAUAAAGAGUUAUUAAAUUAAAUUCAUGUAUUUUAAUCGCUUUUCAAAUCCAAACGACGAGAAGUCGUCUGUUGACAUACAUGUCAUUUAUGGAUUUUUCAUCAUGGUUGCGUCGAAGAGCAUCGUUUAAUCGAUAUUUCACUCCAAUUGUGUUUUAUCUACAUGUGUGCCUUCUUAAAUUGCAUCUAGAUAUAGUCGUGCCAUGAUUUCUCUUUAAAUGUCAAAAGAAAAAUCUGCAUAAAGCUACUGCUUUAUGAGAGUACACAUUAAGCAGAGUUCAAUGGAAUUAUUCACUAUAUGUUACAAAAUGCAUUAAAUAUAUAUGAUAAUAUGCAUAAAUACCUGGUAUUUAUAGAAAAAAAAUACAAAAAUCCAAUCUAUUUUUUAAAAAGAGAGCUUGGUGCAUCGCAAAGUUUUCUU
rnacentral:tRNA from 1 species